rnacentral:rRNA from 1 species
AGUGAACGCUGGCGGUAGGCCUAACACAUGCAAGUCGAACGGCAGCACAGUAAGAGCUUGCUCUUACGGGUGGCGAGUGGCGGACGGGUGAGGAAUACAUCGGAAUCUACUUUUUCGUGGGGGAUAACGUAGGGAAGCUUACGCUAAUACCGCAUACGACCUACGGGUGAAAGCAGGGGAUCUUCGGACCUUGCGCGAUUGAAUGAGCCGAUGUCGGAUUAGCUAGUUGGCGGGGUAAAGGCCCACCAAGGCGACGAUCCGUAGCUGGUCUGAGAGGAUGAUCAGCCACACUGGAACUGAGACACGGUCCAGACUCCUACGGGAGGCAGCAGGGGGGAAUAUUGGACAAAGGGCGCAAGCCUGAUCCAGCCAUACCGCGUGGGUGAAGAAGGCCUUCGGGUUGUAAAGCCCUUUUGUUGGGAAAGAAAAGCAGCAGGUUAAUACCCCGCUGUUCUGACGGUACCCAAAGAAUAAGCACCGGCUAACUUCGUG